rnacentral:sRNA from 1 species
AAUGUCUGUCGCGGAUCUCUCCCAUCCCCUGGAGCAGAUCUCGGAGCGGGGAUUACUCCCCAAAUGCCCGCUCCCCGGCCCCGUCGACCCCCCCCUGGUCGGCGGGGCUUUUUA